CCUACGGGGUGCUGCAGUGAGGAAUAUUGGUCAAUGGGCUUACGCCUGAACCAGCCAAGUCGCGUGAGGGAAGACUGCCCUAUGGGUUGUAAACCUCUUUUGUCAGGGAGCAACGCCGGCUACGUGUAGCCUGACUGAGAGUACCUGAAGAAAAAGCAUCGGCUAACUCCGUGCCAGCAGCCGCGGUAAUCCGGAGGAUGCGAUCGUUAUCCGUAUUUAUUGGGUUUAAAGGGUGCGUAGGCGGAAUGCCAAGUCAGCGGUAAAAUCGAGAGGCUCAACCUCUUUCCGCCGUUGAAACUGUCGGUCUUGAGUGGGCGAGAAGUAUGCGGAAUGCGUGGUGUAGCGGUGAAAUGCAUAGAUAUCACGCAGAACUCCGAUUGCGAAGGCAGCAUACCGGCGCCCGACUGACGCUGAGGCACGAAAGCGUGGGUAUCGAACAGGAUUAGAUACCCUAGUAGUC
rnacentral:rRNA from 1 species